UGAGUACGAGAUGCUACGGCAUCGAAGCAGUCUAUGUCAUACUUCCAAGAAAAGCUUGCACUGUCAUAAACAAAGAAUGCCUGUACCAUAACCGACACAGGUGGGUAGGUAGAGUAUACUAAGGGGCGCGAGAUAACUCUCUCUAAGGAACUCGGCAAAAUGACUCCGUAACUUCGGGAGAAGGAGUGCCUUAUUUCUAAGGUUGCAAUAACAAGAUCCAAGCAACUGUUUACCAAAAACACAGGUCUCCGCUAAGUCGUAAGACGAUGUAUGGGGGCUGACGCCUGCCCAGUGCCAGAAGGUUAAAGAAGUUGGUUAGCAUUAGCGAAGCUGAUAACUGAAGCCCUGGUGAACGGCGGCCGUAACAAUAACGGUCCUAAGGUAGCGAAAUUCCUUGUCGGGUAAGUUCCGACCCGCACGAAAGGCGUAAUGAUUUGGAUACUGUCUCGGAGAGGGGCUCGGUGAAAUAGACUUGUCUGUGAAGAUGCGGACUACCUGCACCUGGACAGAAAGACCCUAUGAAGCUUUACUGUAACUUGAGAUUGAAAUUGGACUUUAUUUGCGCAGUAUAGGUGGGAGGCGUUGAGAAUAAUCUUGCGGGAUUGUUGGAGCCAUCAGUGAGAUACCACUCUUGUAAUGUUAGAUUUCUAACUUUGUAUCAUUAUCUGGUCAAAGAACAGUUUCAGGCGGGCAGUUUGACUGGGGCGGUCGCCUCCCAAAGGGUAACGGAGGCGCACAAAGGUUUCCUCUGAACGGGUAGAAAUCGUAUCUAGAGUGUAAAGGCAUAAGGAAGCUUGACUGUGAGACCUACAAGUCGAGCAGGGACGAAAGUCGGUCUUAGUGAUCUGACGGUGCUGAGUGGAAAGGCCGUCACUCAACGGAUAAAAGUUACUCUAAGGAUAACAGGCUGAUCUCCCCCAAGAGUUCACAUCGACGGGGAGGUUUGGCACCUCGAUGUCGGCUCAUCGCAUCCUGGGGCGGUAGUCCGUCCCAAGGGUUGGGCUGUUCGCCCAUGAAAGCGGUACGCGAGCUGGGUUCAGAACGUCGUGAGACAGUUCGGUCCAUAUCCGGUGUAGGCGUUAGAAUAUUGAGAGGAGCCUUCUCUAGUACGAGAGGACCGAGAAGGACAUACCUCUGGUGUACCAGUUAUCGUGCCAACGGUAAACGCUGGGUAGCUAUUUAUGGAGUGGAUAACCGCUGAAAGCAUCAAAGUGGGAAGCCCACCUCAAGAUAAGUACUCUCA
rnacentral:rRNA from 1 species